rnacentral:rRNA from 1 species
GACGAACGCUGGCGGCGUGCCUAAUACAUGCAAGUCGAACGCAGUGGGGACGGGUGAGUAACACGUGGGUAACCUCCCAUCAGAGGGGAUAACACUUGGAAACAGGUGCUAAACCGAUACUGAUGGAUGGACCCGCGGUGCAUUCUCGAGUUGGUGAGGUAACGGCUCACCAAGGCCACGAUGCAUAGCCGAACUGAGAGGUGGGUCGGCCAUACUGGAACUGCGACACGGCCCAGAAUCAUACGGUAGGGAGCAUUAGGGAAUCUUCGGAAAUGGACGAAAGUCUGACCCAGCAACGCCGCGUGAGGGAAGAAGGUUUUCGGAUCGUAAAACGCUGUUGGUAGAGAAGCGGUAUCUAACCAGAAAGCAACGGCUAACUACGUGCCAGCAGACGCGGUAAUAC